CAGGAUGAACGCUAGCUACAGGCUUAACACAUGCAAGUCGAGGGGCAGCGAGAAGGAAGCUUGCUUCUUGUCGGCGACCGGCGCACGGGUGAGUAACGCGUAUCCAACCUUCCCCUUAGUAGGGCAUAGCCCGUAGAAAUGCGGAUUAAUACCCUAUGUUGUUCGAUGCGGACAUCUAAGUUGAACCAAAGGUUUACCGCUAAGGGAUGGGGAUGCGUCCGAUUAGGCAGCAGGCGGGGUAACGGCCCACCUGGCCAACGAUCGGUAGGGGUUCUGAGAGGAAGGUCCCCCACAUUGGAACUGAGACACGGUCCAAACUCCUACGGGAGGCAGCAGUGAGGAAUAUUGGUCAAUGGGCGCGAGCCUGAACCAGCCAAGUAGCGUGCAGGACGACGGCCCUAUGGGUUGUAAACUGCUUUUAUGCGGGGAUAAAGUGACGUACGUGUACGUUUUUGUAGGUACCGCAUGAAUAAGGACCGGCUAAUUCCGUGCCAGCCGCUGC
rnacentral:rRNA from 1 species